AAAGUGCGAUAACUCGUGUGAAUUGCGGAAUUCGUGAAUCAUCAAGUUUUUGAACGCAAAUGGCGCCAAUACUUGUAUUGGCACACCUAUUUGAGUGUUGGCUAAAACCUUCUCUAUCAUUCUAAAUGAUUGAGAGAUGUUGAAUGUCCAUCUUCUCCCAAGAGGAUUGUCAUUUUAAAUGGAUCAUUCGAAACCUUUCACUGUGACUUUCAACGGAAACUAUGAAGGAAAAUCGACACAAAAUUUGAUCUUUGAUAUCUUUCGAGAUGUUAUUGAAUAUCAACCUCAAAUUAGGUGAGAGUACCCGCUGAAUUUAA
rnacentral:misc_RNA from 1 species